CCUACGGGAGGCAGCAGUGGGGAAUAUUGCGCAAUGGGGGAAACCCUGACGCAGCAACGCCGCGUGAAUGAUGAAGGCCUUCGGGUUGUAAAGUUCUGUCUUCUGGGACGAUAAUGACGGUACCAGAGGGGAAGCACG
rnacentral:rRNA from 1 species